rnacentral:lncRNA from 1 species
GAUGUGCUUGGGUUGUGAGAUGGAAAUCCUGUGAAACUGGAUUGUUAUGAUCAUUAUACAACUACAGAUGUAAUAAAUUCAUUUGAGUAAAUAAAAAAAUUGAAGUAUAGUAGAUUUACAGGAUUAUAUUAGUUUGGGGUGUACAGUAUAAUGAUUCAGUAUUUUUAUAGUUUAUACUCCAUUAAAAGUUAUUACAAGAUAAUAUCUAUAAUUCUCUGUACUAUACAAAUAUCUUUGUUGAUCACUUAUUUUACACAUAAUUGUAUCAUUUUAAAAUAAGAGUGUAGUUGAUUUAUAAUAUUAUAUUAGUUUAUUUUUGCAUAAUGUUUGAUCUCAAAAUCUAAAUUUUACAAAUUUAUGCCAAAGAUAUUAUUACAAACAAGCAAAAAAUUGUUAGCCUCCAGAAUAUUUAUUACAGCAUUUUUAUUAUACUAAAAAAAGGAAAAUAAGUCAGAUUUAAAAGUGUAUGAUACAUCCAAAAAAAUGAAUGCAGUAUUAGACCAUCAUUAAAAAUUAUAUUAAAGAGAAGUAUUUAAUGAUAUCGAAAUACAUUCAAAAUACAGUUGAAUUCAAGAAAGAAGGUGACAAUACUUUAUAAUAUUAUAAUGCCAGGGUUUUUUUUGAGAUAUAGUUAACAUAUAACAACCUGUAAGUUUAAGGUGUACAAUAUGAUGAUUUGAUACAUUUAUAUACUACAAUGUCACAUUAGCUAAUACCUCUAUAUUGUCACACUGCUGAGACCAGCUCAGCAGGAUGGGGCCAAAGAACGGGUGCUGUGAAACGUACGGAAAAAAGGAAAAAAGUUAACAUAAAACAAAACACAGAGACAUUUAUCUUAAGUAAAGGUGGGAACCGAGGGACUCAGGGACCAAGAGCACCCCUCAAGAAACCACACUGCUUUUAUUGUGCUCUUGAGGAUUACGUCAAGUGAGGAGGGGGCUAUAGGUGGAGGAUGUUAGGGGUUUUUUUUAUUAUUCUAUAAGUUCUUUUAUUAUUUUAAAAAUCACAUAGCUGGUAGAUGGUUAAGCUUUUACUCUGACCUUCAGGUAUUUAACAAUCAUUAGCAUUUGAGUGAGCUAUCUAUGCAUAGCCUUUCAGAGAAUCCUCACUGUGCAAACAGCAUGCCUAUUUGCGGCAACCCGGUGUGCCUAGGUUUGCAACUUGGUUCUCUUUGCUAAUGCGUAUUCUGCUAACGACUGCUCGUAAACCACUUGUCCACGAGGUUCCUCUUUCUCUUAUUCUUUAGAGGACAUAUCGUGCUUGUGCAAACGGCAGGCCAGUCUGCACAGGUCCGAUGUGCCUAGACCAACUCAUUUUGUCCUCAUUCAGCAGACCCUAUGAAUUAUGCCUUUAGGUCUUUGUUCUUAAGCUUAAGUCAUUUACCGUCACUGUGACUGUUUUUCAAGCAGGAAGGUGGGGUAAAGUAAAGCAGGAAGGUAGGAUAAAGCAGGACAAGAUGGAGUUUUCAGCAAAGAGGCUAAGAAAAUAUCUCCCCAUUCCCCCACCCCCACCUCCUGGAAACCCCCAUUCUACUCCCAGUUUUGUUUUAAAGAAGAAAUCUAUCUGUAUUUACACGCGCGCGCGCGCGCGUGUGCACACACACACACACACACACACACACAGAGGAAGAUCCAAAGUUAAGAAAGAUGUUCCAAAAAUUUAGAAAAUAUUAAUAAUGGUUACUGAUGCUGAUGGAAAUACAGAUGAUUUCAUCUUUUCUCUUUUAGCCUCUCUUUUUUUUCCUUUUUUAAGAAAUUGAAGUAUAGUAAAUUUACAAUAUUCUGUUAAUUUCUGCUGUAAAGCAAGGUGAUUCAGUUAUACAUUAUACUUCAAAAGAGGGGAGCUUUUCUUCUCUUUUCAAAAAAUGGCUUACAUUGACACAAACAGCAUUUUACUGUCUUCAGCCCUAGUCACAUAAAUGACUAAGUAAAAGCAAAAGAGAGACUCUCAAUACUUUUCUGAAGUUUUAAGGCUAAAGAAAAGCUGAAUCAGAUGCCUCUCUCUAACACAGCGUUCUUCCUUGGUGCCAACAAUCAGCUUUGUCACAAUCUCUACCUGUCGGCUUUUUUCGCCCCAUGAUGCCUUUAUCUAGUCUACCAUUUCCUAAGAUAACUUCACCUAGCCUGACUUUGUUUUCGGGAGUUAGUUACGCGAGCGCUUGCUUCCUUCUAGGAAAUUUCCAUGUCACCUAAGAGCGAGCUUGUUGGGAUGGCUGGCCUCCUCACUUGUGGCCGCCUCUGCCUCGAGGAGGGCUUUUCCUGACUCUGCCCUGGCAACCAAGGGGCAGGCGGCGAGGAAAAGCUUCCCUAAGUGGAGUCAGACGACAGCAGUGGGUCCUCUGUGAUAGACUGUCACCCUUACUAGGUGGGGGAAAUGAUAGCCUCUCAAAUAAGAGGCUGUGUUGCAGAAGUGUGGUUGUUGAUAUUUUCCUCGUUGUUGCUUUAAAAAUCCAGGUUUUCUCUUCAGCAGGAGGGCCACCGGAUCUAGUUUCUCCGUUCUUUUUAUGUACGUAUGUAUGUGUGUGUGUAUGUAUGUUUUGAUUCUGGCUCUCUUAGGUAUUUAUUUAUUUUUUGGCCACGUCCCCCAGCAUGCAGAAGUUCCCCAGCCAGGGACUGAACUUGCACCACAGCAGUGACAGCUGCUGAAUCCUUAGCCACUGUGCCACCGGGGAACGCCUCAUUUUUCCAUGCUUGGUUUACAAGCAGAGAGGUGGAAUCUGGGGCCUGAAUUCAGGAAGGGGCGGUGUGGUAGAGAGCAAGGCCCUGACACCCACCCGCAGGGGGCUUGAUGGGCGUCUGCAGAGUGCCACUAGGGGAAGGGCAGUCCUCAGAGCAUCUCAGGUUCUGGUAGAGUUUCAGUUUUGACCAAGGACGACGUGAGACACAGUGGGGUUCGGUGUGGUGGAGAUGGGGUUCGGGUGACGCUCAUUCCACUCUUCCUGUUGCCGCCAGGGCCUUAAACCCUGGAUCCUCGGUUUCCUCGUCUGUAACAGGAUUACACACAGCCACCGUGUGGCGCUGUUGUGAGGAUUAGAGAAAUAAUCCAGCAAAGCUGGGUCGUGGCAGGAGGUAGCGCCUGUUGACCAUUCCUGCUGCACUGGCUAAUGUAGUCUCUAGCCACAUCGUUCCGUAUAAAGCUAAGCAACAUUCAGUCUCCAGCAGCACCAGCUCCGCGUCACCUACUGGACAGCCGCCUGUGCCCAGCGGCUGGCGUGGGGUGCGUAGCGGGUACGUCCUGAACAGCGUGGAGAGGAACGGUCCCUCGGGCGGCACUGCUCUAUGUCACUGCCUUUGGUUUUACUCCACUGCCAGACCUCAGGGCGGACCAAAGCCAUUCUCUUUGACUUGGAAGCUCUCCUGGAUAUUUACCUGCGGAGGUGAGCGUCAGAUGCGGCCAGCCUUGAAAGGGUGUCGUCCUUUGUUCACCAGAGGUGGAAAGGAGUGAUGUUUGUUCUCCAAAUUAAGGUCGUUUAUCUCUAAGCCAGAUAUGUCAGCCCUGAAGAGAUGGGAAGUUCAUGCCAAGAUAAACCUCCAGAAAGGGCUCCUUCUUUCUCCUGUGCAUUUAGCCAAACAAGAACAGAAAAAGGGGUGGGGGAGAAUAACUACUUUUGAGUCAGCAGAGAAAACAUUCUUGUAGGUAGAGUUUGGAAAGGACAACUAACAAUCUGUUUCCAAACAGGUUUUCGUAAAUAACUGACAGGAGAUGGGCUGUUUCUAUCAAAGUAUUAACCCAAAAGAUGGCGGUUAAUCACUAAACUUUCCAGGUGGUGGCUUGCUUCUUUGCCUGAUAUACUAAUCCAGGUCACAGAACGGCUAAGGCAGCUUUAAGUGAAGGGCAGGGCUUGUUUUCUUCUUCUUUUUUCCUUUUUCUGUUUGCCUCUGGUUUUCCAUUCUGAAACUAUGUUGUGGUCUUCUUUCCCUGGUGACUAUUAAUCAUUUUGAACUCUGUGAAUCAGGUAUGUCACUUUGGAAAUUAAGCAUAGAUUAAGUUUUCUGUUGUGAUUGGCAAGUCUUUGACUUUACUCCAUGUUAUUCUAAAUUUGUAUUUACAUGUAUCAGGGCUUGAAAGUCAGGCCUCUGACUAUUUUAUGAGUUUGGGAAAAACCUCUUAAAGCAUAUGAUGAAUGAGGUUAAACUUUUGUGAAUAUAUAUAUUUGGCUGCAUCUGCUCCAUGUGGAAGUUCCCGGGCCAGGGAUCGAAACUGCGCUGCAGUUGGAACCUAUGCCACAGCUGCGGCAUCGCUGGAUCCUUAACUCACUGCACCACAAUGGAACUUUCCUUUUGGGAUUAUUUGAGACUGAAUAUUUUUUUAGCUCUGUUUUCAGGUCAUUCCAGUUGCAUUAAGUAUUAGGACUUAUCAGGCUCUGUUUGACACAUUUUGUCAUCCUAUGCUGCUCUUUCAAGUGCUCAGUAGCCACCUAUGUCUAGUGACUGUCAUAUUGGACAGCACAGGUAGAGAACAUUCCCAUCGUUACAGAAAAUUACAUUGGACCAUACUGUUCUGUAUCAUUUACUUUGAUUUCAUACAGCUCCCAGACCUUAUGGCAGACCAAAACCAUUUCCUUUGCAAGAAAAUACUUUAAAAAUGAACUUAGUAUAUUGGGAGUUCCCGUCCUGACACAGUGGAAACAAAUUUGACUAGGAACCGUGAGGCUGCAGAUUUGAUCCCUGGCCUCGCUCAGUGGGUUAAGGAUCCAGCGUUGCCAUGGGUUGUGGUGUAGGUUACAGACGCGGCUCAGAUCUGGCGUUGCUGUGGCUGUGGUGUAGGCUGGCAGCUCCAAUUGGAGCCCUAGCCUGGGAACCUCCAUAUGCCACAGGUACAGCUCUAAAAAGAC